UCCCUGGUGGUCCAGUGGUUAGGGCUCUGUGCUUCCACUUCAGGGUACACAGGUUCAACCCCUAGUCAGGGAA
rnacentral:tRNA from 1 species